rnacentral:rRNA from 1 species
UGGGGAAUAUUGCACAAUGGGGGAAACCCUGAUGCAGCGACGCCGCGUGAGCGAAGAAGGUUUUCGAAUCGUAAAGCUCUGUCCUAUGGGAAGAUAAUGACGGUACCAUAGGAGGAAGCCCCGGCUAACUACGUGCCAGCAGCAGCGGUAAUACGUAGGGGGCAAGCGUUGUCCGGAAUCACUGGGCGUAAAGGGUUCGCAGGCGGAAAUGCAAGUCAGUUGUGAAAGGCAGAGGCUCAACCUCUGUAAGCAAUUGAAACUGUAUUUCUUGAGAUGUGGAGAGGCAAGUGGAAUUCCUAGUGUAGCGGUGAAAUGCGUAGAUAUUAGGAAGAAUACCGGUGGCGAAGGCGACUUGCUGGACACAAACUGACGCUGAGGAACGAAAGCGUGGGUAGCAAACAGG